UGGAGGGACAGAUGCCAGAUAAAGAGGCAGCAGAGGUCACACCAGGCGUUUGCAGCCGUCGACGGCUCGAAGCGGUGUCCCUCGCCUCGCUUCCCUCCUUCCUCGGUGAAGAUUGUCCUCACGUCCGGAGCCAUAGUGGUGUGUCUUCUGUUUAGGAGCCUUCCCUUUUAUGUAAAAAACCCCUGAUAUAACAAGGAACAGGGGCUUUACUUCUCGAUGAUGGAGGGAGCUGCAACCAUGAUGGGACUGGCCGAGUCCUCCAUUCCUCAUAGCCUCUUGUGAUCCUGUGCAUUGGUGCCUCCAAACCAGGCUGCAUCGACACCAUACGAUGACAAAGGUGAUCAGAAAUGGGAUUAGCCCCUUGAGGCUGCUCUGAACAAAGGGGAUGCAAGCCUUAAGGAUCCAUGAGACCUGCUUCCAUAACAGGAUGGAGUUUCCUCCAAAAGUAAUUCAAGUAACCCUGAAUGUGUGAGAGGUUGCAGACCAACAGACUAAUUCUUUAAUUAAAUAACAGCCAGUUAAAGAUCUAUUGAAAAGUUCUCAGUUUGGAUCUUUAAUGUGAAAUAGCUCAGUUUGUUGAUAUAGUUUGACAUGUAUAUGAGCAGUUUUCGUUUCAUAUUUUUGUGGUAUCUGCGAGUACACACUGGCCACUUUAUUAGGUACAGGAGAGGAAUGCAGUGUGAUCUUCUGCUGCUGUAGCACAUCCACUGCAAGGUUCAAUGUAUUGUGUAUUCAGAGAUGCUCUUCUGCACACCGUUGUAACGUGGUUAUUUGAGCUACCGUCACCUUCAUGUCAGCUUGAACCAGUCUCCUCUGACCUCUCUCAUUAACAAGGAGUUUUCAACCUUAGAACUGCCACUCAUUGGACUCACCCUUUUGUUUAUUGCACCAUUCUCUGUAAACUCCAGAGACAGUUGUGUGUGAAAAUCCCAGGAGAUCAGCAGUUUCUGAGAUACUCAAACCACCCCAUCUGGCACCAACAAUCACUCCAUAGUCAGUCACUCAGAUCAUAUUUCUUCCCCGUUCUGAGGUUUGGUCUGAACAACUGAACCUCCUGACCCUGCCUGUGUGUUUUUAUGUAUUGAGUUAUUGCCACAUGACUGGAUAUUAGCAUUAAUAAGCAGGUGUACAUGUACCCGUAAAAGUAGCCAGUGGGUGUAUAUUUUCUUUGGCCAGCAAUUAAUUCUGUUCUAUCAGGAUUCCUCGUCUCAACCCACAACAUGAAGUAUCACUUUUCCUCGGCUGACUUCCUCCAACAGUUUGUUUUUCAGCUGGACAACUACAAAUCUAGCAAAAGAUAAUUGCACACAGAAGUACAUGCUGACGUAAUAUUUUUAAUACUUAUACAUGAUUCCUCAUCAUACAUUGUAUACAACAAAUAGACAUUACAGAUUGCAAAAUACAGUCUUUGCAUUAUCUUGUUGAAAAAUAUAACUAAAACCACUACAGGGUGUAUGCAGUUCUUCUGCAAGUCAGAAGGGAGUGACAUUUCAAGAUUAAAAUCCAGACAGUAUUAGCAUAACGACCAGUUUGGCACAGCUUUAUUUCAAAACCAACACAAUCCCACAAAUAAAAUUACUGAAUGUGGUCUUGAUCAUUAGGAUUUAAAUAUAAUUGCUAAAUUUCACAGAGAAGGGAAAAGUGCUUUCCUACUUUCACUUAAAAGUAGGACUUGAUUUUAAGGGAGAGACAAGACAGCUUUUGAAAUUGGGGAAUUCAUUCUUGUUUCUAUAAAUCCACUAAUAGCAUCAGGUUUUCCUCCUUUAAAAUAAACUCUGCAUCUUUUCUCCCAGACAGCUAAAUCUGCCCAAUAGUAGAUUUAAACAUAACAUUACGCAUACAAAUAUAUACAAUAUAUACAGGCACAUGUACAGGAAAGAGGACUGUAUUUACAUUGUUUACAAAGGUACAGACAGCUUUCAAAUUCCAGUGACUUAAUGUCAUUUAGAUAUUGUGUUCAAUGCAACUUUUUGUCAGCUGCAGCAAAUGAUUUAUCUAAAGCUAAUAUUUGUAAAGUGAGAGCCAAAAAAGUUCAAAAAGCAUCCUACAUAAAUGAUCCUGAAAAUCCAACGUGGUCACUUCCAGUGGCACCAAGCGAAUACGUGGAAAGUGACAGAGUCAGGGGUACAUCAGCAGCGUACUCUGGUCACUGCUCUCUACCCAAUUCUCUUCCGCUAAUUUCCAUCUACCAUUACAAGUCCUGGGAUCCAAUCAGGCAACACCCAGAGUUUAAUCUCCUCAUCCUUGUUUUCAUCUCCCUCUGAAGUCACCUUACUCAUUUUGCCUAGGGUCGAAUCAGUCUCCGUGUUUGUACAAUUCUGCCCUCUCAGACACAUCAUCAACACGAGAGAUUCUGCAAAAGGUGGAAAUCCAGAGCAAUGUACAUAAAAUGCUAGAGAAUCUCAGCAAUCAGGCAGCAUCGGUGCAGGGAAAUAAGCAGUCGAUGGUUCAGGCCAAUACUUCUUCAGAGUCCUACCCUAUCCAAUGUCUUGAUGGAAGAUCUUGGCCCAAGACAUCUUUUCCCUUGACAAUGCCUGACCUACUGAGUUCCUCCAGCAUUUUGUGUGAAUUACUCUGAAGUAUUAGCAGACGUGGCUUACAAUGACCAAGUCCUAAGCUCAGAAAUUCCUUCUCUAAACCUCUCAACCAUGAUACUUCAUUAUGCCUCAUAAAACCUAUCUCUAACAUGUAGACCCAGUAUUUCCUCAGCUGGGUCAGGGAUAAAUUUUAUUUAACAGCACUCCCCAGGGUGGUUCCCAUUCUCAAGUACGAGAUGUUACUCUUUGGCUUCAGUACUUCGUAUACUGGGCAACUCAGCCUCCAGACUCUGAAUAAACGUAAGCAGGUGUCACCAACUGGAGGAAACAAGACACUGUACUGUACAAGAGUGUCUCUGAAGCGACAAUAAGAUAGUACAUCCCGCACUACAUCAGGGAAGCAGGUAAUGGCAGUGGAGACAUUCACCUCCGUCCAAAUGACAGGGAAUAGGGACUAAUGAGAA